rnacentral:lncRNA from 13 species
CUUAAACCUUAUAGAAAUUUAUAUUUAUUCAGUCCCUCAACAUUUCUUUGACCGAGAUUAGUUAUUACAAUUCUAACCAGCAUAAUUGGGCUUCCAAGUGAAUUUCAGAGAAAACACUGUAAGUCACAGGCUGAACUGGUUCUAAAAUCCUGGAGCCUUUAUCUGUAAAGCCACUAUUUUAUUUUUCUAGCUCAAUGUCAGUCAGUGCUGGAACAUUACAAAUCUAGAAGGAGGGAGAAAAAACAUUCUCUUACCUUACACUUGGAAAGGGAGAGAGAUAAACUGAUCCAGACUCAUCUGGAUAUUCAUAAAAGAGAGGACCUAGCAGUGAUGGCUGACUCCUCUGUUAGAUCAAGAAGGGAGCCUGGAGAGGCUGCCCAGUGGGACUGAGCCUUUAUGUAACCUCCCACAGAAAAGCCAUGGAGAAAGUCAAUUGCUUUGUCAUCUCGGGUCUUGUCUCAUAAGUUCCAUCUCCCAAAAGAAGGUAGCUUACUGAUGGUUGACCUCCUCUCUUGUUACCAGAUAAUUAGUCCAAAGUAAAACUGUCUCUCCACUUGGGAUACUCUGUCACAUGGAGGAUCUGGUGUAUGCUUGUCAAGGUGCAGCAAGUAGCCAAGAUGAAGUCUGCCAGAUCCUGAGGUAUAUUAUUUCUUCUACAUCAAGCUUCAUCCAGCCAUAUUGCCCUCAGUUGCUUUGCAAAAAAAUUUUAAUAGGGUUUUAUUGUGAAAUAAAACAAAAAUUCAGAAUAAAGACCACACAAAACAACUGUAUAGCUUAGUGAAACAUUAUCAGCCAAACCUCCUUGUAAUCACCACUGAGAUCAAAAGAAAAGAACUUUGCCAGCCACCCCAGAAUCCCUCCACAUGCUCUGAUUUAAAAAUAAUGAGAACUUCCCACUCCCCCAUUGUGGUUAUCAUCAUGAUGUUACCCUGUUUUUGACCAGUAGAAACCUUUUCAAGUGGCUGAGUCUUUCUGACAUGACUCUAUAUCUUUAAAAAUUUUUUUUGUCAGUAGCUUUUGGGGUCUAAAAAACCUCAAUUGCUUUUUAGUGAAAGUGAAAUCUGGGAUACAUUAUAAUACAAAGACAAACCCUAAUCUGGAUUACAAAGCCAAUAUAAGGUUUAAUCUUCACUAACUUCUAGCUUCCUCCUGUCUCUUUUCUCCAGUGACUCUGUCCUUUAUUCAUUCCCUUCUUCUUACCAGCUUCCUCUCACCACCAGGCCUCUGCACAGGCUGUUCACUCUGCUUGGAAUGUCCUUUCUCUUUUCUUUUUACUUAAUCAGCUUCUAAUUAUCCUUUGUCCCAGUUUCAUGACAACUUCCUCAGUGAAGACUUUUUUGACCUUGGUUAUGUCAGGGUCAAAUGUAUCUUUUGGAAUGUUCAUUUUGGAAUGUCAUUGACCCCUCCUUCAUUGCAACCAUUUCAAUUUUACUUGUAUUUGUUUACUGUUUGAUUCGCUUCUAGCUCUCCUGGGAGAUUUUUCUCUUUGGCUUGCUAAUGCUGUGUUUUCCCUGUGUCUUCACAUGGUCUUCCUUCUGUAUAUCUCUGUCCUUAGAAGAACGCUAGUCAUACUGGAUUAGGGUCCAUCCUAAUGACUUCAUUUUAACUCACUUACUUCUUUAAGACCCUGUCUCCAAAUACAGCCACAUUCUGAGAUAUCAGAGGUUAGUACUUCAACAUACAAAAUUUUGGGGGGUAUAUAUUAAAAUUGGAUAAAAUAUGCCACACCAAGGAAGUCUCUUCAGUUUUUCUCCAUCAAGUAGUCCAUCUGCCCAGAAGUAUCUCCAUCUUUAAUGCUAUACACUUACAGAUGCACAAAUAAUCACAUGUAUUCACAUGUACACAUGCACAUAAAAUGCCAGACAACAGCAAAAUAAAAAAUAAUAAGGCUUUGGUUGGCCUUGACCU